rnacentral:rRNA from 1 species
UCUACCAUAUAGUAAGGGAUAACAGUUGGAAACGACUGCUAAUACCAUAUACGCCCUUAGGGGGAAAGAUUUAUCGCUAUAUGAUGAGCCCGCGUAAGAUUAGCUAGUUGGUGAGGUAAUGGCUCACCAAGGCUACGAUCUUUAGCUGGUCUGAGAGGAUGAUCAGCCACACUGGAACUGAGACACGGUCCAGACUCCUACGGGAGGCAGCAGUGGGGAAUAUUGGACAAUGGGCGCAAGCCUGAUCCAGCCAUGCCGCGUGAAUGAUGAAGGCCUUAGGGUUGUAAAGUUCUUUCGCUAUCGAGGAUAAUGACUGUAGAUAGAUAAGAAGCCCCGGCUAACUUCGUGCCAGCAGCCGCGGUAAUACGAAGGGGGCUAGCGUUGUUCGGAAUCACUGGGCGUAAAGCGCGCGUAGGCGGCUAUUCAAGUCAGAGGUGAAAUCCCAGAGCUCAACCUUGGAACUGCCUUUGAAACUGUAUAGCUGGAGUGUUGGAGGGGAUAGCGGAAUUCCUAGUGUAGAGGUGAAAUUCGUAGAUACUAGGAGGAACACCGGUGGCGAAGGCGGCUAUCUGGACAACAACUGACGCUGAGGCGCGAAAGCGUGGGUAUCAAACAGGAUUAGAUACCCUGGUAGUCCACGCUGUAAACGAUGAGUGCUAGCUGUCGGGCCCUUAGGGUUCGGUGGCGCUGCUAACGCAUUAAGCACUCCGCCUGGGGAGUACGGUCGCAAGAUUAAAACUCAAAGGAAUUGACGGGGACCCGCACAAGCGGUGGAGCAUGUGGUUUAAUUCGAGGCAACGCGAAGAACCUUACCAGCCC